UUACAGAUAAUGCGCAUGAACGGGGUGCGAUUUUAGGUAAUCCGUGCUUUAGAUUUUCUUGCUCCAACUUUUCUUCGGUUGGGCUGACCCCUGCGAUUACCCCUAAUGUGGGUAACUCGGGUGCAUAAUUUUUGGUAGUCGGGACUGCGUUCGCGCAGACCCGGU